AGUGAACGCUGGCGGUAGGCCUAACACAUGCAAGUCGAACGGUAACACAAUGAGGCUUUCUUCUUUCCUGAGGCGUGUCGGACGGGUGUGAGGUAUCUAGGGGACUGUCUUUUUUCGUGGGGGAUCUCGUAGGGACGGUAACUCUUACACCAUAUCCUCCCUACGCCUGAAAGGAGGAGCUCUUCGCCUCUUGCCAUCUUAAAUGCGCAGAUGUCGGAUUAGCUAGUUUGCGGGGUAAAGGCCCACCAAGGCGACGAUCCGUAGCGGGUCUGAGAGGAUGAUCAGCCACACUGGAACUGAGACACGGUCCAGACUCCUACGGGAGGCAGCAGUGGGGAAUAUUGGACAAUGGGCGCAAGCCUGAUCCAGCCAUACCGCGUGUAUGAAGAAGGCCUUCGGGUUGUAAAGCCCUUUUGUUGGGAAAGAAAGGCAGAAGGUUAAUACCCCGCUGUACUGACGUUACCCAAAGAAUAAGCACCGGCUAACUUCGUG
rnacentral:rRNA from 1 species